UCCCUGGUGGUUUAGUGGUUAAGCAUCUGCCUGCCAAUUCAGUGACCCAGGUUCGAUCCCUGGCCAGGGAA
rnacentral:tRNA from 1 species